CUCAACAUAUUACUAUAAAAGCCAAUCAUACAAUCUUCGUUAACUAUUACAAGCAUAACAUAUUUUUUAUACUAUCAUUCUGUCUCAAAAAAGUGAGUGUUUUCCUCAAUGAUUACAAGUUGAACAAGAAGAAAAUGGUACUCAUAAUAAGAGCAAGAAAAAAAUCAGUGUUUGUGAUCUUAUCGGUAAGAACUAUCACUUUCUUUUGCAACUAAGAGUUAUACAAAUGAAAAAUAAUUAUCAAUUUUUUUCGUUUAAAAAUAAAUUAGCUUUUUUCUUUUAUCUGUUUAAAAAAGAAUGACAUUUUUUUUUGUAAAUUUCACAUAACUUUAAUUUAGAAUCACAAGAUUUUAAUUUUAACUUUUCACGUGGCAUGUUUAAUAUCACAAGAUUAAAGGAAAUUUUUGUAAAUUUCACAUAAAUUUAAUUUAGAACCACAAGAUUCAAAAAUCUUCUUUAUUUUCUUGAACUUCAUGUCAAAUCAAACCAGAUUAUUCUUUUUGAAACGGAGGAAAUAAUAUAUUUUAUUUUACUUACCAAAACAUAUUUUUUUGUCGCAAUGUCAUAUAGAUGUCAUUUAAGAGUUAUACACUAAUAUUUUUAUCUUUUUGUCGUAAUAUUUUUUUAUACUCGUUCUAUUUAUAAAAUUUUGUUUGAA